GAUGAAGAACGCAGCGAAAUGCGAUAAGUAAUGUGAAUUGCAGAAUUCAGUGAAUCAUCGAAUCUUUGAACGCACAUUGCGCCCGCCAGUAUUCUGGCGGGCAUGCCUGUUCGAGCGUCAUUUCAACCAUCAAGCCCCAGGCUUGUGUUGGGGACCUGCGGCUGCCGCAGGCCCUGAAAACCAGUGGCGGGCUCGUUGUCACACCGGGCGUAGUAGAUUUUAUCUCGCUCAGGGCGUGCUGCGGGUCCCGGCCGUUAAAAGCCUUUUUUUACCCAAGGUUGACCUCGGAUCAGGUAGGAAGACCCGCUGAACUUAAGCAUAUCAAUAAGCGGAGGA
rnacentral:misc_RNA from 1 species